rnacentral:rRNA from 1 species
UAAGUUAGUGGCGGACGGGUGAGUAACGCGUGGGUAACCUGCCUUGUACUGGGGGACAACAGUUGGAAACGACUGCUAAUACCGCAUAAGCGCACAGCUUCGCAUGAAACAGUGUGAAAAACUCCGGUGGUACAAGAUGGACCCGCGUCUGAUUAGCUGGUUGGUGAGGUAACGGCCCACCAAGGCGACGAUCAGUAGCCGGCCUGAGAGGGUGAACGGCCACAUUGGGACUGAGACACGGCCCAAACUCCUACGGGAGGCAGCAUG